GAUACAAGAUUAACACAGUAUUGACUGUCAAGGUGUUCUGACUGUGUGUUAGUCUACCCAGAUACAAGAUUAACACAGUAUUGACUGUCAAGGUGUUCUGACUGUGUGUUAGUCUACCCAGAUAAAAGGUUAACACAACAUUGACUGUCAUGGUGUUCUGACUGUGUGUUAGUCUACCCAGAUACAAGGUUAACACAGUAUUGACUGUCAAGGUGUUCUGACUGUGUGUUAGUCUACCCAGAUAAAAGGUUAAUACAACAUUGACUGUCAAGGUGUUCUGACUGUGUGUUAGUCUACCCAGAUACAAGGGAAACACAACAUUGACUGUCAUGGUGUUCUGACUGUGUGUUAGUCUACCAAGAUACAAGGUUAACACAGUAUUGACUGUCAAGGUGUUCUGACUGUGUGUUAGUCUACCCAGAUACAAGGUUAACACAACAUUGACUGUCAAGGUGUUCUGACUGUGUGUUAGUCUACCAAGAUACAAGGUUAACACAGUAUUGACUGUCAAGGUGUUCUGACUGUGUGUUAGUCUACCCAGAUACAAGAUUAACACAGUAUUGACUGUCAAGGUGUUCUGACUGUGUGUUAGUCUACCCAGAUACAAGAUUAACACAGUAUUGACUGUCAAGGUGUUCUGACUGUGUGUUAGUCUACCCAGAUACAAGAUUAACACAGUAUUGACUGUCAAGGUGUUCUGACUGUGUGUAAGUCUACCCAGAUACAAGAUUAACACAGUAUUGACUGUCAAGGUGUUCUUACUGUGUGUAAGUCUAACCAGAUACAAGGUUAACACAGUAUUGACUGUCAAGGUGUUCUGACUGUGUGUUAGUCUACCCAGAUACAAGGUUAACACACUAUUGACUGUCAAGGUGUUCUGACUGUGUAUUAGUCUACCCAGAUACAAGGUUAACACAGCAUUGACUGUCAAGGUGUUCUGACUGUGUGUUAGUCUACCCAGAUACAAGGUUAACAUAGUAUUGACUGUCAAUGUGUUCUGACUGUGUGUUAGUCUACCAAGAUACAAGAUUAACACAGCAUUGACUGUCAAGGUGCUCUGACUGUGUGUUAGUCUACCCAGAUACAAGAUUAACACAGUAUUGACUGUCAAGGUGUUCUGACUGUGUGUAAGUCUACCCAGAUACAAGGUUAACACAGUAUUGACUGUCAAGGUGUUCUGACUGUGUGUUAGUCUACCCAGAUACAAGAUUAACACAGUAUUGACUGUCAAGGUGUUCUGACUGUGUGUUAGUCUACCCAGAUACAAAGUUAACACGGUAUUGACUGUCAAGGUGUUCUGACUGUGUGUUAGUCUACCCAGAUACAAGAUUAACACAGUAUUGACUGUCAAGGUGUUCUGACUGUGUGUUAGUCCACCCAGAUACAAGGGAAACACAGUAUUGACUGUCAAUGUGUUCUAACUGUAUGCUAGUCUAACAAGAUACAAUGGUAAUAGUAUGCCAAAGUAUUCUGAGUGCAAGCAAGAUAGUUUACAUUGGAAUCUUCAUUAGAGUAAAAGAAAAACAGUUUAAAAACAUUCCAUUAUGGUAUAAUCCAUGUAUGUUUACCCUAGUGGAGAGAAAAUCACCAUUUUGUGCCUUCAAUGAGUGAAAUAGCCAUAGAUACUUUGGAACAAUUUUUAUUCACAUGUUGAUUUUGCCCAUUAUGAUUGUUGGACAUCAUCAGUAUUAACUUCAAUAUGAAGACUGUAAAAUAAUGUUUAAUUUCUUACAAUUACCGCUGAAUGGCUCAAAUAAGAUGUGGAAUUUUUAGCUUUAAGCAAAUUAAGAAAAAAAAGGAAUUAUAGCAUCAUCACAAAAGUAACAUUAUGAUUGUCAGGAUUGAAACUGUAGAUUCUGUAGUAUUGUGUGUAACUUUCUGUAGAACUGACCUUCAGUGCAAUAUCUGUAUGUACAUUAAUUUAAUUGAAUCGGGUUAUAUUAUAUAGAAUUUGACACGGCAAAUGGAUUGGAAGUAUGUGUGAGUAUCUGUAUUGUAAGAGAAUUAAUUUGUUGAUAAAGAGGAGUUAGUACAGUAUCAUAUAUAAUGAUUUUUCAUGUUAUAUAUAUAUUGAUAUUGAGGCUAUAUAUUUAAAUAUUAAACAAAAACCUCACUAAAUCUCUAGCUAUAAAUCUGACUGUACAAAUCCAAAACAAUCACAGUUUGUUGUGGGAUACCAUAUAGCAAUAUCAUUCAUUUAAUGCAUUCUUGUAUUUUAUCUGUAUUAAAGGUUUAUUUUCCAAUGAACUUUAAAAAGUUCUGUAGAAAUAAACAUUCAGUAACA